ACGGGUACGGGGUGUUAGGGCACGACACCGGAGAGGGAGCCUGAGAAACGGCUACCACAUCCAAGGAAGGCAGCAGGCGCGCAAAUUACCCAAUCCCGACACGGGGAGGUAGUGACAAUAAAUAACAAUACAGGGUUCUUUUGGAUCUUGUAAUUGGAAUGAGUACAAUUUAAAUCUCUUAACGAGGAACAAUUGGAGGGCAAGUCUGGUGCCAGCAGCCGCGGUAAUUCCAGCUCCAAUAGCGUAUAUUAAAGUUGUUGCAGUUAAAAAGCUCGUAGUUGAAUUUCGGGAUCAAUAUUUCGGUCAUGCCGUUGGUAUGCACUGUUAUCAUUGAUUUCUCACCUUCUAAAGAACCGUAAUGCCAUUAAUUUGGUGUUACGGGGAAUUAGGACUGUUACCUUGAAAAAAUUAGAGUGUUUAAAGCAGGCUCACGCUUGAAUACAUUAGCAUGGAAUAAUGAAAUAGGACAUCCGAUUCUAUUUUGUUGGUUUCUAGGAUCGAUGUAAUGAUUAAUAGGGAUAGUUGGGGGCAUUAGUAUUCAAUUGUCAGAGGUGAAAUUCUUGGAUUUAUUGAAGACUAACUACUGCGAAAGCAUUUGCCAAGGAUGUUUUCAUUAAUCAAGAACGAAAGUUAGGGGAUCGAAGACGAUCAGAUACCGUCGUAGUCUUAACCAUAAACUAUGCCGACUAGGGAUCGGAUGAUGUUAAUUUUUUAAUGACUCAUUCGGCGCCUUACGGGAAACCAANG
rnacentral:rRNA from 1 species